CUCCAGUAUGUUCUUAAAUGCAGGGUGAUGUUCCCUGGACAUGUUUUACAUGUGAAAUAGUUAAAAAUCUACCUAUUUCCUCUUCUGACCCAAAAACUCACCCAAAAAAAUAGGUGAUUGAUUUUAUAGCCACGAAUAAAAGUCGUUAAUACUCCUUGGAUGAGUUUGGGGAAUACAUCACAGAAAGGACUCACUCUCUCUUUACACAUGUGCACUUCUUGCUUGCUAGGCAUUCAAGGGUAAAGUGGG
rnacentral:lncRNA from 1 species